ACUCUAAGGUGACUGCCGGUGACAAACCGGAGGAAGGUGGGGAUGACGUCAAAUCAUCAUGCCCCUUAUGACCUGGGCUACACACGUGCUACAAUGGAUGGUACAAAGGGCUGCAAGACCGCGAGGUCAAGCCAAUCCCAUAAAACCAUUCUCAGUUCGGAUUGUAGGCUGCAACUCGCCUACAUGAAGCUGGAAUCGCUAGUAAUCGCGGAUCAGCAUGCCGCGGUGAAUACGUUCCCGGGCCUUGUACACACCGCCCGUCACACCACGAGAGUUUGUAACACCCGAAGUCGGUGGAGUAACCGUAAGGAGCUAGCCGCCUAAGGUGGGACAGAUGAUUGGGGUGAAGUCGUAACAAGGUAGCCGUAUCGGAAGGUGCGGCUGGAUCACCUCCUUUCUAAGGA
rnacentral:rRNA from 2 species